rnacentral:rRNA from 1 species
UUGAGAUGGCCUCUCGCCCUAUUCAGUGUAACAGCUGUGGUAGUGGGUUUGGUCGCUCGCAUUUAAAUUGGAAGGGUAAUGGUGGACCGCACUUCUCCCUUAGUAGGACGUUGCGACCUGUCAAAUAAUAUCCUAAGUAUUUGGCUAAUUUGUCUGUUUUUAGGCAGUACUGAAAGGUAUUUCCUUUAACAGUUUUAGCCGUUUAGAUACUGGAUAUAAUUGACAGUAACGAAUCAUGGUGUUGAGCCACUUACUUUGUAAGUGUCCUUUAUGGCUGUUUGCAAGUGGGUUGGUUAAUUAGUUUUAGUCGGAUUUCGGUCCGUCUAACUAUUCCGCCUACUGUUGGUAAACUGUUCCUUGGACAGUGCUUAUAACACCGGUCGGCAGCGAUUCAGGUUCAGGCUCUUAUCCGACCCGUCUUGAAACACGGACCAAGGAGUUUAGCGUGUACGCAAGUCAUUGGGUGUAUAAAACCCAAAG